rnacentral:rRNA from 1 species
GACGAACGCUGGCGGCGUGCUUAACACAUGCAAGUCGAACGGUAAGGCCCUUCGGGGUACACGAGUGGCGAACGGGUGAGUAACACGUGGGUGAUCUGCCCUGCACUUCGGGAUAAGCCUGGGAAACUGGGUCUAAUACCGGAUAGGACUCCGGACUGCAUGGUCUGGGGUGGAAAGCUUGUGCGGUGUGGGAUGGGCCCGCGGCCUAUCAACUGGUUGGUGGGGUGCUGGCCUACCAAGGCGACGGCGGGUAGCCGGCCUGAGAGGGUGACCGGCCACACUGGGACUGAGAUACGACCCAGACUCCUACGGGAGGCAGCAGUGGGGAAUAUUGCACAAUGGGCGCAAGCCUGAUGCAGCGACGCCGCGUGAGGGAUGACGGCCUUCGGAUUGUAAACCUCUUUCAGCACAGACGAAGCGCAAGUGACGGUAUGUGCAGAAGAAGGACCGGCCAACUACGUGCCAGCCGCCGCCGUAA